CCCCAGCACUGCCGAGGCCACCACUGACCCAUGUCCCCAGGUGCCACAUCCACACACCUUUUCCAGCCCUCCAGGUGAGAUGUGGGCGUGCACUGUGUUCCAGGGAAGCCUUUUCUCAGCUCACCAGAGCUGCUGUGGAUGAAAUGAACUGGGCACGGCGUUCCCGCUGCGGAGGCACACCGGCGCAAUCGCUUCCAGAUUGCUCCCAGUGCCACGGGAACCCGCAGCUCUGGCGGCCCCGGCACAGCACAGGGGUGUUGUGUGCUCUCCUGGGGACUGGCUGCAACCACGGGGGGACCUCCUGCAGGAAUAAACACCCCCUGAAGCAUGGGGGCCUCCAGUACAGUGGGGUCUGGGAAGGAGACCCGAGCCAUCCUUGGACAAGCUGUCACUGCCCAGAAUCACCUGGUUAUUCACCCAAAGGGAGCUGCUGGAGAAAUGCCACCUCGUGCCCCUGCAGGGGCUGGCAGAGCCCAGGUCCCUCGGCAGCUCCUGAAGUCACAGAUGCUCCGAGAUAACCCACAGGCUGGACCGUCUGCCCAUGCAAGGGAGAUGAUCCAUGAAUCCCCGGCAUUUAUCCCGCUCCACGACACUCAGCAAUCUUUAUUUACACUGCUGACAACUG